GAACGCACACAUCACAAUAGUUUUUCAGAAUUUCUCUGUCUAGUUUUUAUUUGAAGAUAUUACCUUUUCCACAGUAGGCCUCAAAGCGCUCCAAAUGUCCACUUGCAGAUUCCACAAAAAGAGAGUUUCUAAACUGCUCUAUCAAAAGAAACGUUUAACUCUGUGAGAUGAAUGCACACAUCACAAAGAAGUAUCUCAGACUACUUCUGUCUAGAUAUUAUGUAAAGAUGUUUCCUUUUCUACCAUAGGGCACUAAGCACUCCAAAUUGUCCCCUUGCAGAUUCUGGAAAAAGAGUGUUUCCGAACUGCUCAGUCAAAAGAAAGUUUCAACUCUGUGAGAUGAACGCACACAUCAUCAAGAAGUUUCUCAGAAUUCUUCUGUCUAGUUUUUAUGUGAAGAUAUUUCCUUUUCCACUAUAGGCCUCAAAGCACUUCAAAUGUCCACUUGCAGAUUCUACAAAAAGAGAGUUUCAAAACUGCUCAUUCAAAAGAAAGUUUUAACUCUGUGAGAUGAAUGCACAUAU
rnacentral:lncRNA from 1 species